ensembl:snoRNA
UGGAUCGAUGAUGACUAUUGGUGUAGUCAUGUAUGUCGUGUAUGAUGAAUAUGUGUCUGGAACUCUGAGGUCCGA